ensembl:snRNA U6 U6 spliceosomal RNA
GUGCUCACAUGGGCAAGCACACAUGUGAGAGUCGGAAUGGUGCAGAGGAGAUUAGCAUGGCUCCUGUGCUAACAUGUAAAUUCAUGAAGCAUUCCAUAUUUAA